CAGGAAAGUGGUCACUAAUUUGAAUUUUGAAUUUUGAAAAGAUUGGGUCGGAUCCCUUCUCUACCUGGAAUGGUGACGCGCGGUCUGCUUUCAGCACCUCAGCAAAAGAUUUCAAUCCCACUAUUCCAACCAGAAUUUGCACACCGCAUCUGCAUUGAGGACAGUUGAAGAGAAGUGUGCAUGCGGAAGGGUCGUCCGAAACAUUGUGACUAUCUGGGAGGCACACUGGAGGAACAGGUUUGGCUUUUUCAAAAGGACUUUCCAGCGGAACCACCAAUAGCUCAAAGAUUGCUGUCAUCAUGCGCCACCAUCCCCCACCUUGGUAGCCCUCCGGAAUGAAAAUGCGUUUGAAGGAAUUUCUGUUUACCUCAGAUAGAACAAGCGUUCGACCUCUUCAAUUCCGACAGAGCACGAUAUAGAGGUGUUGGGCAUUAUCAAUCAAUUUCUUGCCCCGCAUGACUCCACUUUUAAGCCAAUAAAAAUCACUUAAUGCGUCCACCAACCAUUUGGCCUCAGCUUUAUUCAGAGAGAUUGUGGUGCGGGAGCCCCUCCCAUUUUCACUAAUUCUUGACCCAUCAAGCUUUUUACCGUCACAAGCAACAUCAAAAGAUUUCCGGUCAACAAGAAUGAAACGUUUGGAAACAUUCGAGGACAUUACAGGCUGGAAAAAAAUUAUUAAGGCAACGCCAGACGAGGCCGACCUCAGUCCUAGAGACCUUAGCAAGACCGAAAAAUAUUCUCCAAGCAGAGGGAAGGAUAAGAAAAUAAGAUGGAAUGGGUAGUUGUGACGAAGGAGCAAGAGGGAUUAGAGAGAGAGUUUAGAGAGAAAGAGAGGGAUCACAUUACCCCAAAUGCUUGUAGUUUUGUCUUCUCAAAGUAAGGAUGCAAAAUUACGAAAUCUAACUUUCCUAUAUGUUU
rnacentral:lncRNA from 1 species